rnacentral:rRNA from 1 species
UACGGAGGGUGCAAGCGUUAUCCGGAUUCACUGGGGUUAAAGGGUGCGUAGGUGGGCAGGUAAGUCAGUGGUGAAAUCUCCGGGCUUAACCCGGAAACUGCCGUUGAUACUAUUUGUCUUGAAUAUUGUGGAGGUAAGCGGAAUAUGUCAUGUAGCGGUGAAAUGCUUAGAUAUGACAUAGAACACCAAUUGCGAAGGCAGCUUACUACACAAUGAUUGACGCUGAGGCACGAAAGCGUGGGGAUCAAACAGG